UACGUAGGGCGCAAGCGUUGUCCGGAAUUACUGGGCGUAAAGCGCACGUAGGCGGAUUGUUUAGUCAGGGGUGAAAUCCCGAGGCUCAACCUCGGAACUGCCUUUGAUACUGGCAAUCUCGAGUCCGGAAGAGGUGAGUGGAAUUCCUAGUGUAGAGGUGAAAUUCGUAGAUAUUAGGAAGAACACCAGUGGCGAAGGCGGCUCACUGGUCCGGUACUGACGCUGAGGUGCGAAAGCGUGGGGAGCAAACAGG
rnacentral:rRNA from 1 species